GGAGCGUUAACUCAGUGGUAGAGUGCCACCUUCACACGGUGGAAGUCAUUGGUUCAAAUCCAAUACGCUCUA
rnacentral:tRNA from 1 species